rnacentral:rRNA from 1 species
GGAAUAUUGGACAAUGGGCGAAAGCCUGAUCCAGCAAUGCCGCGUGAGUGAUUAAGGCCUUAGGGUUGUAAAGCUCUUUUACCCGAGAUGAUAAUGACAGUAUCGGGAGAAUAAGCUCCGGCUAACUCCGUGCCAGCAGCCGCGGUAAUACGGAGGGAGCUAGCGUUGUUCGGAAUUACUGGGCGUAAAGCGCACGGAGGCGGCUUGUUAAGUCAGGGGUGAAAGCCCGGGGCUCAAACCCGGAACUGCCCUUGAAACUGGGAAGCUAGAAUCUUGGAGAGGCGAGUGGAAUUCCGAGUGUAGAGGUGAAAUUCGUAGAUAUUCGGAAGAACACCAGUGGCGAAGGCGACUCGCUGGACAAGUAUUGACGCUGAGGUGCGAAAGCGUGGGGAGC